rnacentral:rRNA from 1 species
UUAAUUGAAGAGUUUGAUCAUGGCUCAGAUUGAACGCUGGCGGCAGGCCUAACACAUGCAAGUCGAGCGGAAACGACUUAACUGAACCUUCGGGGAACGUUAAGGGCGUCGAGCGGCGGACGGGUGAGUAAUGCCUGGGAAUAUGCCUUAGUGUGGGGGAUAACUAUUGGAAACGAUAGCUAAUACCGCAUAAUGUCUUCGGACCAAAGAGGGGGACCUUCGGGCCUCUCGCGCUAAGAUUAGCCCAGGUGAGAUUAGCUAGUUGGUGAGGUAAGAGCUCA